UACAGAGGGGGCAAGCGUUAUUCGGAAUUAUUGGGCGUAAAGGGCUCGUAGGCGGCCUGUCGCGUCGGGAGUGAAAGCCCACUGCUUAACGGUGGGUCUGCUUCCGGUACGGGCGGGCUGGAGUAUGGCAGGGGAGACUGGAAUUCCUGGUGUAGCGGUGGAAUGCGCAGAUAUCAGGAGGAACACCGGUGGCGAAGGCGGGUCUCUGGGCCGGUACUGACGCUGAGACGCGAAAGCGUGGGGAGCGAACAGG
rnacentral:rRNA from 1 species